CGCAUUGCGACCUGCGGCAUUUUCUCGUGUUCGCGCAAUCGGUGUGAAACAUGUCGCAUGUGAAAUAUUUGAUAAAAGUGCCUCACGUCCAAGUCAAGCCGCCGUACAGAGUUUGGACUAGACUUCUGGCAAGGAUGUUAAAUCGACCUUGGGUCUUGUGACAGCACACCCGACAUGGCCAAAGUGCAGCUUAUCAGUUGAGUGCCCCCGAAGGGACCAUCAACAUCAGAAAAUGAAGCAGAACGAGAGUCGCCAUCGGUACAAGAGGAAAGAAACAGGCAACACAUUUCUCCUACUCAAUGGAUAUUAUUGGUACCAAUGCGAGCCUAUUGGUCCUGAAAGCGACAAGUAUACUGGAACCCACUGAGGCAAUACAAAGCUUUUGGACCUAUAGGUAAGCUAUAGCUGUCACUUGUUGUCCUAUAAGUAACAAGAAGCUGCCAACCAUUAGACCUCCCUGUUGGAGCCAAUAGAAGCUCAUUUGUCCGAUAAGCGAAAAGCAGCUGACUGAUAUUAGUACCAAUGACAACUAUAUUGUUCCUAUAGGCAACCAACAGACGUCAGCUUUUGGACCGUAUUGAUACCGACAGAAUCAUAAAAAACCCCAUAGAAUCCCAUGAGGUUGCUCUAAUGGACCAAUAGAAAGUUUUAUUGGCCUAUUUGCUAGGAAGGUACAGCCCUAACGACGUUCUUUGAAGAAUGAUGAACACCGCGAACACAAGUCUCAAGAGUGCUUCAUUUGUUAAAGAUUUGCGCGGAACCUAACACAGACGAAGUAUUUAUGGACAUAUAACAUGUGUAUGACGUUAACGAAGGAAAAAAGCAGCCGUGCCAGUCGGGUUGCCGCGGUGUUCUAUACGAGACUUCAACAAUAUUGUAUAUUUAUGAAAGUUUUCCUGCUGGAAAGCAAUACUGUUUGGGGGCACCUGCAAACAUCAAGACCAUCCUGGAUCAGCCCCUCCGGCUUCAGUCUAAAGAUCGCCUGGCAGCAGAAAAAGGUUUCUCCCAAAGAAGCGGUGAAUUGGAGAGCUAGAAAUAUCAAGAUUAUCGAGCUUUACUGAGAAAGAGGUGCAUGAAAUGAGCAUGUGUACUAUACGAAUGGAGAUAACCUUGCUAGAGGCAUUGCUCCGACUUGCCAUAUAUUGAAGUAAAAGGCCUCAUUUAAGUUGGGGCUGUGGCGACAAUUGUGGGACCUCACGUGUGACAAGAACAGCCGUUCAUAAAGGAAUGUUCAAUACUUUUGUUCGGUUGAUUUGUGAAGGUGACUGGGAGGUUGAAGGCUCUUCAGCCGGGAUCCUUUAUUUAUAUAUCUGAGAAGUUGCUAGCAAACAAGUGGAAGACUGGAGCUGUAUAGUCCUUUCGACAAAGAAUGACGCCCAAAAGCCAGGUGGAAUGUAGGAAAAAAAGGAGGUGGCAUAAAGGUGAUACAAGAUGAACGUCAAGUCCAGAGAAAGCGCAUUCAGUACUUUUCGCUAGGUAAGCUACUACAUAGGUGUCUGUCACUCUUGUAUGCAGUAAGCUUAUGCUUGAUACCACAUCCUUAUUACAUUUGUUUACCUACACUGUUGUACGGCUAUUAAAACGCGCAAUAUCAUAUCUGUUACUAUGCAAGUCGUUUAGCCUAAGAAUCCAAAAGAAGCGCCAUAUAUCGUAGCUCUACAUGUGUGUGAAAACACUUGUAGUGUUUCUUUAGGAAACAGCUGAUUUCUUUUAAAACAAGCUUUUUACACAGGCAUCUUAUCAAUUAGAUAAAGAUGCUGUGAAAGUUUCUCCAUGAAAGUCGUUUAUGGCUUUUGGUACAUCACACCAAAAUAGGACCGUGUUCCUUGUUGAACGGUAAUGUGUUUAGCAGCCUCAAGUCUUCGGCGGCACCGCUUUGCGAGAGGCAAACUAUUAGCAGAAAACAUGUAAAAUGGACGCAGUACCAGUUUUUAUCAGCACAUGCAUUUUCAA